UACAGAGGGUGCGAGCGUUAAUCGGAAUUACUGGGCGUAAAGCGUGCGUAGACGGUUAUUUAAGUCGGGUGUGAAAGCCCCGGGCUCAACCUGGGAAUUGCAUUCGAGACUGAAUAGCUAGGGUACGGUAGAGGGAAGUGGAAUUUCCGGUGUAGCGGUGAAAUGCGUAGAUAUCGGAAGGAACAUCAGUGGCGAAGGCGGCCUUCUGGACGGUGACUGACGCUGAGACGCGAAAGCGUGGGGAGCAAACAGG
rnacentral:rRNA from 1 species